rnacentral:rRNA from 1 species
AAACUCAAAGGAAUUGACGGGGCCCGCACAAGCGGUGGAGCAUGUGGUUAAUUCGACGCAACGCGAAGAACCUUACCAGGGCUUGACAUCCCCUGACCGCGUAUGAAAGUACGUUUCACCCUCGGGUGACAGGGAGACAGGUGGUGCAUGGUUGUCGUCAGCUCGUGUCGUGAGAUGUUGGGUUAAGUCCCGCAACGAGCGCAACCCUUAUCCCCAGUUGCCAUCAGGUAAAGCUGGGAACUCUGGGGAGACUGCCGGUGAUAAACCGGAGGAAGGCGGGGAUGACGUCAAGUCCUCAUGGCCCUUACAUCCCGGGCUACACACGUGCUACAAUGGCAGGUACAGAGGGCUGCGAAGCCGCGAGGUGGAGCGAAUCCCAGAAAACCUGUCUCAGUCCGGAUUGAAGUCUGCAACUCGACUUCAUGAAGGCGGAAUCGCUAGUAACCGCGAAUCAGCAGGUCGCGGUGAAUACGUUCCCGGGCCUU